UGGCGUGUGAGUGGUGUUUGGAUUGUUGGGAUAGUAGGCUCUGUGCUCUUUUGCAUCGAACUGCUGCACCACAUCCUUUUCAUGGCUCAAGCAUAGCUUCUUGUGCUUGUUAGCUUAUCGUGUUCCUGUAUUUCAUACCCAUGUUGGUGGAACUACGCUUCUAUUUUCGUCGGUCCUCUUGGUGCCUCUUUGGGCAUCGGGUGGAGCAUGUGGUCUGAUCUGUCGAACCUAGCGUGCCGAGUUGGCUGCAACGGUUGUUGGAUCAAGGCUUGUGCUCUCGGAUGUGGAAUAUUCAUAGGUCCAAGGAUUGAAUCCUUGUAUUUGCCCUAUGUGGGAAGAUGUCCCUCGAUAAGGAACGACAUCCUUUGUGCGUUACGAUUUAUCCAACGCUCUCUCGGGGUGUAGGAUACUUUUGUGCGUGCAUCGGUGUCUCUGAAAGAAUGCUACCUGGUUGAUCCUGCCAGUAGUCAUAUGCUUGUCUCAAAGAUUAAGCCAUGCAUGUGA
rnacentral:misc_RNA from 1 species